GAAGAAGAAUAGAAAAAUGAACCCCAAACUGGGAUCACUUAAAAUUCCUUCAAGACUUGAGGAUGAAUGAAAACACAAGAACAGAAGUCCAAGGUGAAUUUGUCCCCCAUGCUUAGAAGGACCAGGUUGGGGAUGUCACGUGCUGGGAGAAAUCCGUCAGGGUGGCUGCGCAGGCAGGCAGACAGCACGCCAGGGGCAGAAAGGAUGAAAUAAGAUGCUCUGAACACAAGAGAGAUGGCGGCUGUGAAAGCACUGGCCCCUUUUCACACACUUGGUAAACCUCAGGUCCAGAAGAGACCGUGGUGAGGAGAAUGACCCCAACGUGGUCCCUGCAUGCAAAUUAGAACUUGGUAUCGCUGCUCUUAGCUGCAGCAAUUUUCGGUUGGGCCCAUUUUGUGUUAGAACUCCCCGACGCACCACAGUAUCGCAGCUUUUUGCUUCCUUUGCCUUUGUCUUGGCUUUCCUUCCUCGUCUCCCUGCAAAAACCAACCCUCCUUGCUCUCCCAGCUUCACAAAGAGAAAACACGAUUCCAAGAGGAAGUCACUUCACAGCAAGGGAGCACUGGGAAGAAUUCAAGACUGAGGAGCUCUUGUAAUGAGAUUAAGGGGAAAAUGCUUUUGUGCGUCCAACUCAGACCCGUCCUGUCCUCGCUGUGGCGGAUGGAGCCAAAACACACACGGGCAUUGUUUUGGGAAGGAAGAGGUUAACAAGCUAUGAAAACAAAAUUAGAGAUAUUUUCAAAGCCUGACCCUUGGAGGCGGAGGCAGCAGCGGCGGGAUGGGCAGAACACAGCCUGCUGGGGCAGGGGCCUCUCCCCUCCUCUCUGACGCGGACCCCGCAGCCUGCGGGGUGCGGGGAGCAGCCCAGGCUGUGAUGUUCCUAACAGACAACAGGGAUGCUGCUGUCUCCAUGGCCGGUGGGCUGCAUCCAUCAGGCAGAGGCAGGAAAGCCUGGAUCCAGGGGAAAGACACCCGUCUCCUUGGCCUCUUCUCAGAAAUGAGCUUAGAAAAAAUUCUUUGUGGAUCCGGCAGAGCUUGGAGCCCGUACUUCAUCCAGCCUCUGGCAAAAGCACUAGUCUGCAAAUAGAAAUACUGAGCUUGUGUCCGGACUCAGGGGCCGCACGAUUUCACCCAGGGUGGAAGGAGAUGGCUCAGAGAGGCCCGUAGCUGGGGGUGUGUGGAGCCCCCCAGGAAGGCUGGGAGCUGGCCACAGCAUCUAACACUUGCUGCAGGAGAGGCUCUUCUCCCGAGGCUGAGGAGUCGGCCUGCAGGUUGUUACAAGCUCCCUUUGACGUCAGGGGGUCCGACAGGUGGAGGCCCCCCGAUGCACACAGAUGCACGCCAGUCCUCCAGACAGUCUCUCCUGAUUUUUCAGGACUCAUCUCAGCUGCGUCUGCGUCCAUGAAGCAGUUCCCGACCUUCUCCAGCAGACCCGAUACCUCCUUCCUCUCCACCUCCCAUCACAUCUGCUCCCUUACAGUGCUUCUCACACUGUCUGCAACCCUUUGGUCUCCCAUAUUCCUUCUCAACUAGGCUAUGAACCCCUCAAAGGCACAAUCCCCAGUGGUUCUCAUUUUAAGAGUCACCUCCUGUCACUCACCUCUCCUCAGUAAUCAGGAGCAUUCCGAGCAUGUGGACGAAGGAGAGAGGAGUGUCUAGCACCCUGGGACCCUGUUUCUCUGGGCACUCUUUGCUGUGACCUGGUCCCUGUAAGAAACCUAAUUCAGCUGAAUGCACCAUCGAGUCCCUUGCUGUUGGGUUUGGAGUCGCUUGAAAAGAAAAGUGGAAUCUUCUAUGUAAUGUGCUUUUAAAAACUCUUCCCGGUUGUUAGGCUGGAAUCCCCUUUAUCCUCCUUUCAGGCUGAAUCAGUCAAGAGAGGAGAAACCCGGAGAAGAACCCCCAGCGCCCUCAGUGAGCUUACUCACACCAGCAGAGCCCCAAGUCCAGCCCCCCUCAGCCCGCGCCCAAGCUCACCUCCCCAGGGCUUCCCCCCCGCCUUGCCACGUUGCUCGGCUGUAAAUCCACCCUCAUUCGCUGUCUGAGCACUUCCGGAACUCUGUCCGUCUUUCCCGUUUUACUCUAUGGCCGUGUUGGAGCAAUGCAGGUGACAGUCACCAUUUUCCACCGGUGGAACCUGGAAAUGACCAGCCUGAAGCAGGACAAAGGCGGCCCUCUGGGAAAACAAAGGGAGCAGAGAGCCAGCAGGCAGCGUGUCAUCCACCAAUGCGAGUCUGCUGUCACUCCGUCGGGCUGUCCCGGGCGGUCACGCUGAGUAUCGGCUGGGCGCAGCGACGAAAGAGGUCUACAGCGCGCGCUGGGGCUUCUCCCCGUUGCUGGGCGACCGCCCCAAGUGGCUCAGCUUUCCAGGGGCUUAGUGGGAACUCCUGCUCCAUUUAAUGAUGAGCGUUUACAGCCGACAAAGAAUCCGGUGGUGGGGAGACACCACGGCAGCUAUUUCCACUGUAUUUCACUCCCGAUUCAUUGUUUGCAGAUGUAGACCUGAGGGUUCCAGGGCCGAUGGGAAAGAGGGCUGGGGGAGGGCGAGGAAGAUUGUUCUAGGUGACUGGCCCUGCUGGAAAUCUUGAAGUCAAACUGCUUUGUGAACAAAGUGGUAUCUGAAUUUUAUUCAAGUGAAAACCUGAGCACUGACUGUGAUUUUAUUUUUAUUAAAGUCUAGUUAUUCAUUUUUUAUUUUUUCAAUUAAAAAACCGGGGGGGUGUAGUUAGUUGGGUUUCUUUAUUUUUAUUUUUUAUUUUUAAUGGAGGCACUGGGGGUUGAACCCAGAACCUUGUGCAUGCUAAGCACGCGCUCUGCCACCGAGCUCUCCCCUCCCCCUUGACCGUGAUUUUGAAUGAUCAGUGUUCUCUACUUCAAAUGCACUGAAGCAGGGGUUGGUUUGUUUGUUUGCAAUAACCUCAGGAACAUAUGCAAAUUGAUGUUACAUUGUUUGCUCUGAAGACGUGAAGGCUGAUGGAGUAAUUGGUCUACAAGUGUACAGAGAGCGUUCUGUCGAGGUUACACACCGCUAUC